rnacentral:rRNA from 1 species
AGACCCGAAACCCGGUGAUCUAGCCAUGGGCAGGUUGAAGGUUGGGUAACACUAACUGGAGGACCGAACCGACUAAUGUUGAAAAAUUAGCGGAUGACCUGUGGCUGGGGGUGAAAGGCCAAUCAAACCGGGAGAUAGCUGGUUCUCCCCGAAAGCUAUUUAGGUAGCGCCUCGUGAAUUCAUCUCCGGGGGUAGAGCACUGUUUCGGCUAGGGGGCCAUCCCGGCUUACCAACCCGAUGCAAACUGCGAAUACCGGAGAAUGUUAUCACGGGAGACACACGGCGGGUGCUAACGUCCGUCGUGAAGAGGGAAACAACCCAGACCGCCAGCUAAGGUCCCAAAGUCAUGGUUAAGUGGGAAACGAUGUGGGAAGGCCCAGACAGCCAGGAUGUUGGCUUAGAAGCAGCCAUCAUUUAAAGAAAGCGUAAUAGCUCACUGGUCGAGUCGGCCUGCGCGGAAGAUGUAACGGGGCUAAACCAUGCACCGAAGCUGCGGCAGCGAACGUAUCACUUAAAGCGAUUCAGCGGGUUACGAUUGACGGAGCGAAGCGACGUCAAAGCGUAUACAAAGUCGAGUCGGUUUAAGGAUACGUUCGUUGGGUAGGGGAGCGUUCUGUAAGCCUGUGAAGGUGGCCUGUGAGGGUUGCUGGAGGUAUCAGAAGUGCGAAUGCUGACAUAAGUAACGAUAAAGCGGGUGAAAAGCCCGCUCGCCGGAAGACCAAGGGUUCCUGUCCAACGUUAAUCGGGGCAGGGUGAGUCGACCCCUAAGGCGAGGCCGAAAGGCGUAGUCGAUGGGAAACGGGUUAAU